rnacentral:rRNA from 1 species
GACGAACGCUGGCGGCGUGCUUAACACAUGCAAGUCGAACGAAGAGCGAUGGAAGCUUGCUUCUAUCAAUCUUAGUGGCGAACGGGUGAGUAACGCGUAAUCAACCUGCCCUUCAGAGGGGGACAACAGUUGGAAACGACUGCUAAUACCGCAUACGAUCCAAUCUCGGCAUCGGGACUGGAUGAAAGGUGGCCUCUAUUUAUAAGCUAUCACUGAAGGAGGUGAUUGCGUCUGAUUAGCUAGUUGGAGGGGUAACGGCGCACCAAGGCGAUGAUCAGUAGCCGGUAUGAGAGGAUGAACGGCCACAUUGGGACUGAGACACGGCCCAGACUCCUACGGGAGGCAGCAGUGGGGAAUCUUCCGCAAUGGACGAAAGUCUGACGGAGCAACGCCGCGUGAGUGAUGACGGCCUUCGGGUUGUAAAGCUCUGUUAAUCGGGACGAAUGGUUCUUGUGCGAAUAGUGCGAGGAUGUGACGGUACCGGAAUAGAAAGCCACGGCUAACUACGUG